GUCAUAGCGACUUUUGGGAUAGUUUGCUAUCGACAAAGGGGGACAAAGUCAAGGGGUGAAGGGAAAGGAGGGCCAAGCAGAGCCUCCACGACCCUCGGCUGCCUCCUCACCAGCUCCCCCUCCCCCCAAGUCCGGUAAGAAGUUGGGCCAAGCUGGAAGGGAUUGACCGGGUUGCUUGUCUGGAGAUGGAGCCACUAUGGGCAGGGCCUGGGCGCCUGGAGUCGGGCAUGAAAGGAAAUAGCGCCUCAUCGCUCUUAUCUAAGCCCAGAGGUCCACUUCGCUUGAAAAGAUCGAGAAUGGGGGAGGGGAUUGACACUCGCUUGCAGACAUCAACAGUUUCCAGAAAACUCCGUUCAAUUCCUUCACCACGAACCCACCAACCAAGGAACUGGCGAGACCCACCAGCCAACCAGUAGAACACAGACCCGGUUUGUCUUUUGACAACCGAGUGGAACUGCCGGGGCCGGCGCCUGCCCUGCGGGUCCCCUCCCUUGGCAGAGAAGAAAACCAAAUAAACCUUGAACAGCCUUGGCUUCG